ACUAGCUCUUCUUUUCUUUAUAGAUAGAAUAGCUAUAAGAACUAAUAUUAGGAGCUAUUAUAAAGGUUAAUAGUUACUCUAAUACGCCUAUAAAUAGCUUAUUAUAUAAAUUAUCGUUUAUUUAAUAAUACCUUAUUAUAUAGAUAAUUAUAAUAAUUCUAGAGCUAAUAUAUAUUAAAAAUCCUAAUUUCGGAAGGGAUAUAUUUAUUAGAUAUAAAAUUAAUACCUUUUAAGGCUCUCUUAAUAAUUUAUAAUAAUUUCUCGAAUUAUAUAGCCCUAUAUUAAUAAUAAUUUAUUUAAAUUUCUUCCUUAUUAAUUUUUAAUAUUAUAGUAUUAUCCUAAUAUAAUUAUAAUAGGUAAUAGAGGGUUAAGGCUCGACCCUAGAGAAGGAGCCUAAGAAAUAGCUAUUAUAUCUAAAGAAGGUAGUAAGAGCGUAAAUUACUUAAUCCCGACUUAGGGAGGUAAUAACGAUAAAUACCGAUAUAGGGCUCUUUUAAGUCCUAUAAUUAGAAUAAAUAUAAUUUAAAUCCCUUAAUAAGGAAUAAUUAAAGGGUAAAUCUAAUAUUAAUAGCUAUAAUAAUUCUAGCUCUAAUAGCGUAUAUUAAAGUUAUUAUAGUUAAAAAGCUUAUAAUUAAAGCUCGUCCUCUAAUUAGCUAGUCCGCUUUAUUAUAUAUAUUAGUUCGGCUAGGGCUUUACCUUCUUUAGAAUUAUAUCUCCUUUACUAAAAGUAUUAAGGAAAUAGGACGUUUAUUUUAGAAAAAUUAGAAUACUUUAAAUAAACUUAUACUCGAAUAUAUUAAUAUAGAAUAAUAGAAUAAGAUAUAUAAUCUUAUUUUAUUAAUUUCUAGGACUAUUAUAAUAAUUAAUAAGGAUAAUUAAGGGUAUUAAUAUUUAAUUAUUAAAAGUGAAAUUCUUAGAUCGAUUAAAGAUUAAUUAUUAUAAAAGUAUUUAUUAAAGAUAUUUUCAUUUAUUAAGAACGAAAAUUAAAGGAUCGAAGAUAAUUAGAUAUUAUUAUAGUCUUAAUUAUAAAUUAUAUUAAUUAGGGAUUAGACGGUAUUAUUUCUUAACCUAUUUAAUACUUUAUAAGAAAUUAAAGUAUUUAGGCUCUAGGGGGAGUAUAAUUAUAAAGCUAAAACUUAAAGAAAUUAAUAGAAAGGUACUAUUAAAAAUAAAUAUCUCUAUUUAGCUAUAAUUAACUCUACUCCUAAAAGCUACUUAAAAGGGUUAAAUAGUUACUCUUAAUAUCGUAUUAAAUAUAUAGCUAAUCUCCUUAAAGGUAAUACCCUUAAAUUAUAGGAAAUUCCUAAAGCUUAUACUCUAAAGCUAUCUAUAAAAAUAGUUUAAUAGUUAAAUUAAUUACCUCGAAUAUUAGAAUAAUAUAUAAGAUAUAAUAAUAGAUAAUUUAUAGCUAAGCCUCUGAAUCUCUUACGACUCUAUCUAUAUUUAUAGUAUCUACUUAUAAAUAAUUAAUUCUAAUUUAGAAUCGGCCUUUAAAUUAUAAGAAAUAUAAAGAAGGUUUAGAGAUUUAAUAAGGGUAAAUAAAUUUAUUAUUAUAAUAAUAAUAUAAAUAGAUUUAUUUAAAAUAAAGUCUAAGCUUAUAGGAAAUUAUAAAUAGCUUUAUAAUCGAAUAUAUAGCCCUAAAAUAGGAGCUUAUAGCUUAUAAAACCCUAUUAUAUUAAGGAUAGAAUAUUAUAAUUAUUACUCUUUAAUAAGGAAUCUCUAAUAAAUAUAAAUUAUUAGCUUAUAUUAAUUAUAUCCUUAUACUUUAUAUAUACCGCUUAUUGCUAUUACUAAUUAAAUAGCUUAGUAAGGCUUUUAGAUUAAUCUAGAAUAGGGGGCGACCCCUAUUCUAGAUUAGAAAGUUAUCUAAGCUUAAUUAUUUAGAGGAAGUAAAAGUUAUAAUAAGGUCUUUAUUAAUAAAUUAAUAAAGA
rnacentral:rRNA from 1 species